UUCCGGUUGAUCCUGCCGGAGGUCAUUGCUAUUGGAGUCCGAUUUAGCCAUGCUAGUUGCACGAGUUCAGACUCGUAGCAGAUAGCUCAGUAACACGUGGCCAAACUGCCCUAUAGACGGCGAUAACCUCGGGAAACUGAGGCUAAUAGCCGAUACCGUUCAACACCUGGAGUGGUGUGAACGCGAAACGUUCAGGCGCUAUAGGAUGUGGCUGCGGCCGAUUAGGUAGACGGUGGGGUAACGGCCCACCGUGCCCAUAAUCGGUACGGGUUGUGAGAGCAAGAGCCCGGAGACGGUAUCUGAGACAAGAUACCGGGCCCUACGGGGCGCAGCAGGCGCGAAACCUUUACACUGCACGCGAGUGCGAUAAGGGGACUCCGAGUGCGAGGGCAUAUAGUCCUCGCUUUUCACCACCGUAAGGUGGUGGUGGAAUAAGUGCUGGGCAAGACCGGUGCCAGCCGCCGCGGUAAUACCGGCAGCACGAGUGAUGACCGCUAUUAUUGGGCCUAAAGCGUCCGUAGCUGGCCAGGCAAGUCUAUCGGGAAAUCUGCGCGCUUAACGCGCAGGCGUCCGGUGGAAACUGCAUGGCUUGGGACCGGAAGACCAGAGGGGUACGUCCGGGGUAGGAGUGAAAUCCCGUAAUCCUGGACGGACCACCGGUGGCGAAAGCGCCUCUGGAAGACGGAUCCGACGGUGAGGGACGAAAGCUCGGGUCACGAACCGGAUUAGAUACCCGGGUAGUCCGAGCUGUAAACGAUGUCUGCUAGGUGUGGCACAGGCUACGAGCCUGUGCUGUGCCGUAGGGAAGCCGAGAAGCAGACCGCCUGGGAAGUACGUCCGCAAGGAUGAAACUUAAAGGAAUUGGCGGGGGAGCACUACAACCGGAGGAGCCUGCGGUUUAAUUGGACUCAACGCCGGA
rnacentral:rRNA from 1 species